rnacentral:rRNA from 1 species
GAUGAACGCUGGCGGCGUGCCUAACACAUGCAAGUCGAACGGAGAUUACGGACGGAAGGUUUCGGAUGGAUGCCGGUAAUUCUGAGUGGCGGACGGGGGAGAAACGCGUGGGCAACCUGGACUAUACAGGGGGAUAGCAGCUGGAAACGGCUGGUAAGACCGCAUAAGUCGGUUAAUUGUCAUGGAUGGUUCGGGAGAUGAGCAAUCAGGUAUAGGAUGGGCCCGCGUCCGAUUCGCAAGUAGGCAGGGUAAAAGCCAACCAAAGCGACGAUCGGUAGCCGGGCUGAGAGGUACGACCCCCACAUUGGGGCUGAGCCACGGCACAAACUCCUACGGGAGGCAGCAAUGGGGGAUAGUGCACAAUGGCGGGAACUCUGAAGCAGCGACGCCGCGUGAGUGCAGAAAUAAUUCGGUAUGUAAAGCUCUAUCAACAAGGCAGGUCUUGACGGUACCUAACUAAGAAGCCCCGGCUAACUACGUG